AAGGCAGGACGUCAGUCGGUGCUUUGCCGAUUCCAACAGGCAUCCUGGUAUUUUUGUGGCUCGAGUUGAACGAACCAGCGUCAGCCCUCCUUCAAAGAGGCGGUCACACCCACCCCGUUUGGUGCUGACCCUGCAAAGGCAUCAGAAGGAAAAAGAGGUCUUACUACCAAUUACCUCAUGCUCGGGAGGAUGACACAAUCAUUCCAUGACUGCGACUCUGCAGGCUGGCCCAAGCAUGCUUCUCGUCCUCUCCCCUGUUCCCGAAGUCUCCCGCUACCAGCCUAUCCGUCAUCCGCAUUCCUGCCUCUAGCCUCAUGCCAAAGGAGACAUUCCAGCCCAGAGGAUAAACAUGGCAGUUUGAUACUGAUUUGUUGUACAUUGCUUUAAACGACUGUAUUUCUUGAGGAUGGUUAGUCACCCCUAUGCUAAACUCUGGGAGGGAGAAAAUAAAAGGAUAAAGACUGA